rnacentral:rRNA from 1 species
UUCCGGUUGAUCCUGCCGGAGGCGACCGCUAUUGGAGUUCGAUUAAGACAUGCGAGUCUGAGCAUUAGCUCGGCGUACCGCUCAGUAACACGUGGGUAACCUGCCCUAUCGUUUUGAAUAACCUCGGGAAACUGAGAACAAUACAUCAUAGUCCACUACGCCUGGAACGGUGAGUGGAUGAAGGUAGGAUGGGCCUGCGGCGUAUCAGGUUGUAGGGGGUGUAAUGGACCUCCUAGCCAUCGACGCGUACGGGUGUUGGGAGACAUAGCCCGGAGAUGGAUUCUGAGACACGAAUCCAGGCCCUACGGGGCGCAGCAGUUACGAAAACUUGGCAAUGCGGGAAACCGUGACCAGGGAACUCCAAGUGAGUCUCUUUUAGGGGCUCUUUUCUUGACUCUAAAACGGUCUUGGAAUAAGGGGUGGGUAAGGACGGUGCCAGCCGCCGCGGUAAUACCGGCGCCUCAAGUGGUCGUCGCUUUUAUUGGGCCUAAAACGUCCGUAGCCGGUUUGGUACAUUCGUGGGUAAAUCAGCUCGCUCAACGAGUUGAAUUCUGCGAGGACGGCCAGACUAGGGACCGGGAGAGGUGUGGGGAACUCUCAGGGUAGGGGUAAAAUCCUGUCAUCCUGAGAGGACCACCUGUUGCGAAGGCGCCACACUAGAACGGAUCCGACGGUCAGGGACGAAGCCUAGGGGCACGAACCGGAUUAGAUACCCGGGUAGUCCUAGGUGUAAACGCUGCGGACUUGGUGUUGGGGAAGCCCAGAGCUUUCCCAGUGCCGUAGCGAAGUGUUGAGUCCACUGCCUGGGGAGUACGGUCGCAAGGCUGAACUUAAAGGAAUUGGCGGGGGAGCACUGCAACCGGAGGAGUGUGCGGUUUAAUUGGAUUCAACGCCGGA